UGGUGAUGGUUAUACAACAGUGUGAAUAUACUUAAAGCCUCUGAACUGUACACUUUAAAAUGGUUGAAAAAAAAUGAAAAAACAAGAAAAGAGAAACAAUAAUGAAAGAGAAAAAAUGGUUAAUUUUUAUACUAUAUAUAACUACAAAAAUAUGCGUAAAGAUGAAAAGAGGAAGUAAGAAAUCUUUUCCUAUGUUUUAGCAAUAUCUUAACAAGAAGUUGGAUAUUUAUUCCAGAACUGUUGUAUAAUGAAGAUGUGAAUUAUUUGUGGAUGCUAAUGGCAACUGCUAACAUCUAAUGAGUCAGGGAUUGUGUCCAAGGAUUUAUGUACAUUAUCUUGAGUCUCAAAACCUAUGAGGUAAGUACUUGUGGAUUAUGGGCAUUUUCGAGUUCAGAAAAGUGAGGCUUAGAAAUUGUAAAUCAUUUGCCCAGGGUGCAGGGUUAGUGUCUGGUAGAGCCCAGAUGUGACAGAUUUAUUACCGUUAAGCUCUUUUCAGAGUUUGGAUUCUGCUUUUUAUAAUUAAAAGGUUUUUGAUUAUCUUCGUAUUAACACUUUGCCCCUAGACACUUGAGAAAUUUCAAAGGAAAGACAUCUGAAUCAGGAGACCCCAAAUGACCUUGAGAGGCCAGAAAUGUAAUUGUUGAACAGCACUUCCAGAACUGUGCCUAAAACCGUGCCUUGGCAAGUAGCCCCUCGAAUUUGCUGUGGAAUUGGGUACUCAAGUCUAAACACAAAGAUAAGGAAACUGGAAAAGCAGUGAUGACCAAAUGUUCCUUUUGGGGUACAAGCAGUUCUGUAAUAUAUUCUAAAAUAUCCCUGUAAUUUUUUUUUCAGACUUUAUAUAUUUUCUGGCACAUUGUUCAUGAUUACUUUUUAUUUUUCUGUUUUACGGCCACACCUGUGGCAUACGGAAACUCCCCGGCUAGGAGUCAAAUCGGAGCUGCAGCUGCUGGCCUACACCACAGCUGCAGCUAUGAGCUGCAUCUGCGGCCUAUGUUGCAACUGGCAGCAGUCCUUCACCCUCUCAGUGAGGCCAGGGAUCAAACUGCCGCCUCAUGGACACUCUAUCAGGUUCUUAACCCUGCUGAGCCACAACAGGAACUCCAGCACUACAUUGUUUUUAAUAAGUGUAAACAAGGUAAAAACAUUUGAAUCAACUAAAGAAUUCAGAGAUUGUAGUCUGUUCACUUAUAGGACACCAUCUAUCUUCCCCCAAAGCAUUAACUGGAUGAGCUAUUGUGUUUGCUUUUCAAACGUGUAUUAAUACACACACACACACACACACACACACACACACACACACACAAUGUUACAGAAAAAUUCUUUAAAGAGAAUGAGAUAAUAAUAGGAAUAGGAAAACCAGAAGGAGUAUCAUCAUUAGGCCCGAAGUUUGGAGAAACUUCUGCAAGAUAGAAAGCCGAUAGAUGGACUGAGAGAAAAUGUAUGGAAAACCGCAGGCCAGGGCAGAAGAAAUGAGCAUGCAUUUUCCUAAGGGGUCCCAGAAGGGAAGUCACACACAGUCAACAAUACAGUGAUGGGCUGUGGGGCAAUCAUAAUUGGCCUCAUUAAAGAAUUAGAUUCAGUGUCUGGGGACAGCUGGGCCCCUUUCCUCUGACCUCUGCAUACAGAGCUUGGCAGCUGAGACUUUUGCCCUUGGGCUAAAAGCCAGCCGCACUGCCCUCUAGGAAGCAAGCCGUCAAACUCAGACAGGGCUCUCCCCAAAGAUUUUGUGGCCCAAGGUGCAAAAGAUAAUGACAAUGAAGAAAUUCUGAAUCUCUACAAUAAACUCUGAAUUCACUGUACUUAAAUCAGACUUAAAAUGUACCUCCACCAGCUCCACCUGGAAACCUCUGUUCCCAGCCUGCUUGCUUGCACUUUGCCCACAGGAAACCCUACAGAGAAGACUUCCUGUCCACAAACACCACCUUCUUGUACAAAAACUAUGUCAGUCAUUCUGUUUAAGAGCUUCUUGCGGAAAUGAAUCUAAACAAUUGAAGAGGAAACCCACACAAACGACCUAUACAAAAUUAAGGCGUUUGUUUAGUUCUUAAUUCAUCCAUAUAAAUGGACAACAGGGAGCAUCAAACUUGUGAGGAAAAAAACAAUGAGAAAGAGAAAACCUUAGGAAAAUUAAUUAAGUAACUGAAGCUGAAGGAAAAAAAUAAUCCAAGCAGUUACAGAGAAUUUUUUUAAAAAACUAAUCAACACGCAAAUCAGUCACCUUUGUAAUACUUAUAUUAGUCAAUUAAGGGAAUUAAUAUUUAAAAUAAUUCCAAUAAAAAUGCAAAUUAGUAUCAGAGAAAUUUAUAACCUACUGCCUCUUUUUUUUAAUUGAAAUAGUUGAUUUUCAAGGUUGUGUUAAUUUCUGGUGUACAGCAAAGUGAUUCAGUUAUAUACACACCUACUGCAUUCUUAAGACAAUUACAGUUUGUGAUGAAAAGUAACUUGAGAACUUGAGAUAGUUCUUAGAAAUUAAAAAUAGGCAUUUCAGGGGAAUUGCUAAAUAAUAAUAUAAACACAAUAGAAGAUCAAGUUGGCUACCUGGAAGAUAAAGUACAGGAAAUAAAAUGAUAGAGAAU
ensembl:lncRNA